GCCCGCUUGGCUUAGGGGUACAGCGUGUCACUCGUACGAGCAUUUACCGUCAUGACAAGAUCCUCGGUUCGAUUCCGAGAGUGGGCA